CCCAGGGGCGUGUAUUCCGUCACUUGCGGUGAUUCGGCUACAGAACGCGCCGGGCGCUGGUGGCAGGUGGUACAGGCACGUGGAUCCACCGACCACAAGGACGGAUUCGAUUGGAUUCUGAUUGACCGGCGGACCAGCUCCAGAGUAAUUGUCUAUGGCUGCCCCUGCAAUGACUGAUUGAUUGACAAUGGCUGAGAGACCAGCAAGUGAGUCGCUCCGAGAAAGCGAAGGAGCCCACUCUUGUGCGGCGCUUUGGGAAGACGCCUGUUGGUUUUGACCCCGAAUAAGAAGAGGAAGCUGAGAGCGGGCUGACUGUGGUCCAGUCCUACUUCGAUUCAGUGUGAACUGACACUCUGAUCUGAAGACGCUCAGGCCUUUGUCAUUUCAGCACCCCAGAUGCUAUUUUCCAUUCGAAGAAUGCCGCCACCAGGUGGCGGUAUUUUAACAUGGCCAUGCAAUCCGGAGCCAGAGGCUUGCUCUGUCACCCAGGCUAGAGUGCAGUGUCGUAAUCUAGCUCACUGCAGCCUCCAAUUCCCAAGCUCAAGCGAUCCUCCUGCCUCAGCCUCUGAGUCACUGGGAUUACAGGCGUGAGCUACCGCACCCGGUCUUUUUGCAUUACUAACCUGUGAUAUGGGUUUAUGGGACUUCAUUAUUUCAAAGGGAGGCAGCUUGGCCCCGGAGAGCAUGCAUUCCUGGCUUCUGCGAUGGAUAGACUUGUGUUCUCCAUCUCAGGAGCUCCCCCUCAAGGUGGGGGUAAGAGAUGAGGGCUUCCACUCUGGCUUUGUUCGAGAUGUCUUGAUGCCAAGAGGAGCAAACUAGUUAAGCGGUUGGUGUACACAGGAGGCUCCAGUGAUGGGGAGCGGCUGUAAAUACAGAUGAAGCUUUGCUGCCUGCCUGCUCACUGCCUGCCUGCUCACCUCCUGCUCUGCGGCCCAGUUCCUAACAGGCCACAGACAGGUACCAGUCUAUGGCCCAGAUGAUGCAGACCCCUGUCUUAAACAAAAACAAAAAACCAAAGCACACUUAAUGUGAGAUCUACUCUCUUAGCAAAAUUUUUGUUUUUGUUGUCGUUGACACGGAGCCUCAUUCUGUUGCCCAGGCUGGAGUGCAGUGGCGCGAUCUCGGCUUACUGCAACCUCCUUCUCCCGGGUUCCAGCGAUUCUCCUGCCUCAGCCUCCCGAGUAACUGGGAUUAUAGGCAACCACCACCACGCCUGGCUAAUUUUUGUAUUUUUAGUAGAGAUGGGGUUUCCCCAUGUUGGUCAGGCUGGUCUUGAACUCCUGACCUUGGGUGAUCCACCCACCUCGGCCUCCCAAAGUGCUGGGGUUACAGGCGUGAGCCACCGUGCCCGGCUACUGUGAUGUGAUUAUUAUACAUCGUAUGCCUGUAUCAACAUAUGUCCUGUAGACCAUAAGUAUAUACACCUACUACGUACCCACUAAAAUUAAAAAUAGGCAGGGCACGGUGGCUCACACCUGUAAUCCCAGUACUUUGGGAGGAUUGCUUGAACCCAGGAGUUCGAGAAUAGCCUGGGCAACACAGUGAAACUCCGUCUCUACAAAAAAAAAACACAAAAAAAUUAGCCAGGUGUGGUAGAGAGUGGCUGUUGGUCCCAGCUACUCAGGAGGCUGAGGUGGGAGGAUUGCUUGAGCCCAGGAGUGAGAGGCUGCAGUGAUUGCACCACUGCACUCCAGGUAACUAAAGUACAAUGGGGCCGGGUGUGGUGGCCCUUGCCUGUAAUCCCAGCACUUUGGGAGGCUAAGGUGGGUGGAUCGCUUGACGUCAGGAGUUCAAGGCCAGCCUGGCCAACAUGGUUAAAACGUGUCUCUACUAAAAAUACAAAAAUUAGCCGGGUGUGGUGGCGGGUGUCCGUAGUCCCAGCUACUCGGGAGGCUGAGUCAGGAGAAUCACUUGAACCUGGAAAGCGGAGGUUGCAGUAAGCUUAGAUCGCACCACUGCACUCCAGCCUCAGCAACAGAGAGAGACUCCGUCUCAAAAAACAAAAAUAGAGGCCAGGCACAGUGGCUCACGCCUGUAAUCCCAGCACGUUGGGAGGCUGAGGCGGGUGGAUCAAGAGGUCAGGAGAUCAAGACCAUCGUGGCUAACACGGUGAAACCCCGUCUUUACUAAAAACACAAAAAAUUAGCUGGGCGUAGUG
rnacentral:lncRNA from 10 species